UAUGAAGAAAGUCAAAAGUACAACUGCUUACUCUUUAAUCUUAAAAAUUAAAUUGAUAAAACAAGCUUUGAAAGAGUUGGAAUAAAAGGUUUAUUGGAUACAUCAAUGAAAGGAAGAUUGCAGUUAAAAGAGGAAUUAUCUUGGAUACAAGCUAAUCCAGAAAUGCCUUGAAUGAUAGGCAAAUAGGCACUUUGGAGCAAAUUAUGUGAUUCCAAAAUCCAAUAUUAAAAGGAGAGUGGAACAACAGAAGAAGGAAUAGGAUGCUGAGAAAGGGAACUUGGUGAAAGAACAUAAAGCUAUGAAAGGUGUACUCUUG
rnacentral:lncRNA from 1 species